CGGACGAUCCAGAACAUCAAGGAGAUCGCGGGGAAUCACACCGACGAGGAGGUCUACGCCGCGCUCCGCGAAUGCGACAUGGAUCCCAACGAGACCGCGCAGAAGCUCCUCCACCAAGAUACCUUCCAUGAGGUGAAAAGAAAGCGUGACAAGAAAAAGGAGAGCAACAAAGAAUCUGUUGACCCCCGAUGGAGACCUGGGACACAGGGGCGAGGUGGAAAAGGUGGCCGUGGGAACUAUUCUUCACGCCAAUUAAGCAACUCUAGUGAUGGCACUGGGAGAAAUGCGCCUGCUGGAAAGGAAAAUGACCUGAAUCCGAGCAUGGAUAAAUGUACUAGCCCUUCACCUGUCAAUCCAAGCACAGAAAUGAAGCUAUCAACUUCCAUUUUAAGUUCGUCAGGUGGCUUAUCCAAUGGUCCAUCACAACCUCUUGCUCCCGGGGCGAAAUAUUCUCAGCCUACUUGUCACUUGUCACCCUCAGAUUCAAAAGGACUGGCGGUUGUUAAAGGUACCCCAGAAGAGGUUGUCUUGGAUUUAGGUUCACAUGUAAACAACUCAUCAAUUCAGGCGCUAGGAGUGGGUACUUCUGUUUCAGACCCACUGCUUACGCCGCCCCUUCAACCCCACAGUCAUGGUGGUGAGAUCGUUGCCAACAAACAUGCUGUCAGAAGUCAGCGGUCAGCAGGUGAAUAUAAGGUGGUUUCCGAUGAUGCAUCAGCACUUCCGAAAGACACGCCACAGUCUUCUAGUUCAUCUUCUACUGUGGUACCAUCUGGUAGCAGGCCAUCUUCUAGCUACAGUAGUCGCUCACAGCAGCCAAGUGGCUCGCAGAAAGCUGUUCCAAAUAAAGAGUGGAAGCCAAAACCAACGAACAAACCCGCCCAAGCUGAAAAUGUUACCCGUGAUGAUGUGGCUGUUACUGUGGAGGUUGUUCCACAGUCAGUUCCUGCACCAACUUCCAUUAAUAAGGAAGAUAUCUCUUCGGGAUUGGAUAAAAGACUCGGUGAUAUGCAGUUAUUCGACAAGCAGCAUGUCAUUAUUCCGGAUCAUCUUCAGGUCACAGAGUCAGAAAAAUAUGGACUCAGUUUUGGCAGCUUUGGCACCAGUUUUGAACAAGCUCCGAGCUUUCCAAAUGACCAUGGGAGUGAGAAGAGCUCUAUACUGCAUGAAUAUGAAUCAUCACAAGAUCUGGAGGAAGUUGCGGAAGAACCUGCCUCUAGUCACCAGAGUGCAUCCUCCACUGUUGAAGCGGCAGCUGAAUCUGGUCAGCAGCAGCUGACUGCUGAAAUGACUGAUAAUAUCUCACCUCAAGAGGUGGAUAAUUUGUCCAGUACUCCUAAAACUGCAGGGUUUGACGAAUCGAAGGACACAGCAGCUUCACACAUGCCCCAAGAUUCUGUCCAAAAUGCGUACUCAACAUUUGCAGUUCCACCGCAAUCGCAAGGGAACCAGAUUCCAUUACUAGAGACAUCUGAAUAUCAGGUGCAACAACCAAACGAUUUUUCAGCGAAUUAUUAUACACAAAUUUACCGGCCAAUGGCUGAUGCCGAUGGCCAUAUCUCACCAUUUACUGCUCCUGGAGCUGCGAUCAAGUCUGGGAACAUGCCAGUUCUGCCUUCUCAAACUGGCCAGACUCCAGAGGAACUCAACUCAGUGAUGCUGUCUUCGUCUGGACCCACUCCACUUGCCACUCCAACUCCUGGAGCUGUUCCAAGCUCUAUUUCUAUUCCGCAACAACCUCUUCCAAUGUUCCGCCAGCCUGUGGGUGUACAUGUACCCCAUUAUCAACCUAGCUUUAUCCCAUACAAUCAGUAUAUCUCUCCUUUCUAUGUUCCACCACAUGCCCUUCACCAUUUCAUGGGCAAUGCUGCGUUUCCUCAAGCUCCUUCACCUGGAAGCAUGUAUCCACCUGUAAGUUCAGCUGUUGCACCCCCAGUCAAAUACUCGGCCACAGCAUACAAACCUGGUGCCAACACCGGAAGCCAGACAUAUGCUGUAACGCCUGGUGCCUAUGGAACAUAUGGUUCUAAUCCACCAGUCUAUACAAAUAACAAUGUGGUGGCAAGUGGAACUUCGGCAGAGAACGGUGAUGUCAGUGGAUCACAAUUCAAAGAAAAUAACAUCUAUAUUGCCGGACAGCAGAGUGAAGGCUCCACUGUCUGGAUUCCUGCACCCGGACGGGACCUAUCUGCUCUCCAAUCUAGCUCCUUCUAUGGCCUACCUCCACAGGGGCAGCACCUGGCAUUUGCCCCUGCCCAAGCUGGUCAUGGUGCCUACGGAGGGAUGUACCACCCAGCACAGACUCUUGCUGGAGCUGCAGGUCAUCCUCUUCUCCAGCCAUCACAGACAAUUGCUGGAGCUGUUGAAAUGGUUGGGCCGCCUGCCAAUGGUUAUCAGCAGCCGCAACAUGCUCAGAUGAACUGGGCUAACUAUUGA
rnacentral:rRNA from 1 species